UUGAAGAGUGUUAAAAAAUGACACUCUUUCGAUUCAUUUUAACAAUGGCAGUCUUAUUUUGUCUAAUGAGUUCAUGCUAAUUCACAGGUGUAGAUUUUUUUUUAAUCACACUGAUCAAGAGUGAACAUUUGCAACAGAAUUUGUGACGUGUUGCCCUCCAAAAAGCGGGAGAGUGAAGUGGAAGCAUCACUCAAGGCAGGCAAAGAAGGCACUGCAUUGCAAUGUUGGUUCCUGUAAAAUGUGGUCAAACCCAGAGAUACUUUAGAGUGGCUGAAACUGAAGGGGGCUUUGACCAUUUUGGCACGUUUAUUAAGAAGGGUGUAGAUUUUUUUUUCAAUCACACUGAUCAAGAGUGAACAUUUGCAACGGAACUUGUGACGUGUUGCCCUCCAAAAAGCGGGAGAGUGAAGUGGAAGCAUCACUCAAGGCAGGCAAAGAAGGCACUGCAUUGCAAUGUUGGUUCCUGUAAAAUGUGGUCAAACCCAGAGAUACUUUAGAGUGGCUGAAACUGAAGGGGGCUUUGACCAUUUUGGCACGUUUAUUAAGAAGGGCUUGCUUGCAGCUGCUGCAGUUCUCUGCGGCGCUCUUCAAGUCGGAUCUGAUGGAUUCAAACGUGAACAUCGCAAGCCUCUUUGGUGUGCAUCUCCUCGGAGGCGGACGACGCCACUUUCUGGAUGAUGGGGGCGAUGUUGGUUGGCCCGUAUAGCUGAAUCUUGGGAAGGCAAUUCUGGUAGGCCUCGACUACGCCUUGGAUCCCUGCAAAUACAUCACACUCUUAUCAACAUGCCAAGAAAGGUCUUGCACUUGGGGACGUAUUUGUUAAACCAAUCCUGUUCCAUUGUGUGAUUACGCCACACUAGAAGGUUACUGGGCUUCUUCUUUUUUUUUCAUGCUCUAAUACACACAAACCUAAAACGACACGUCUAUAAGUUCACAGUAAGAUAGCAGCGACGUGCUGGGCAGAGUACAGAAGCCCAUUUCACACAUACAGAU